CAGCCGCCGCGGUAAUACCUGCAGCUCGAGUGGUGGCCGCUAUUAUUGGGCCUAAAACGUCCGUAGCCGGUUUAUCAAAUGCCUGGGUAAAUCGGGCCGCUUAACGGUUCGAAUUCCGGGUAGACUGAUAAACUUGAGACCGGGGGAAGUUGGAGGUACUCCUGGGGUAGGGGUGAAAUCCUGAAAUCCUAGGGGGACCACCGGUGGCGAAGGCGUCCAACUAGAACGGGUCUGACGGUGAGGGACGAAGCCCUGGGGAGCAAACGGGAUUAGAUACCCCGGUAGUCCUGGCUGUAAACGAUGCGGACUUUGUGUCGGACAAGCUAUGAGCUUGUCCGGUGCCGGAGGGAAACCGUUAAGUCCGCCGCCUGGGGAGUACGGCCGCAAGGCUGAAACUUAAAGGAAUUGGCGGG
rnacentral:rRNA from 1 species